rnacentral:rRNA from 1 species
GACGAACGCUGGCGGCGUGCUUAACACAUGCAAGUCGAACGAGACGAUUUAGAAGCUUGCUUUUAUUGAGUCGAGUGGCGAACGGGUGAGUAACGCGUGAGCAACCUGCCUUUCAGUGGGGGACAACAGUUGGAAACGACUGCUAAUACCGCAUAAAACUCUAAGAGGACAUCCUCAGUGAGUCAAAGAUUUAUUGCUGAAAGAUGGGCUCGCGUCUGAUUAGCUGGUUGGUGAGGUAACGGCCCACCAAGGCGACGAUUGGUAGCCGGACUGAGAGGUUGAACGGCCACAUUGGGACUGAGAUACGGCCCAGACUCCUACGGGAGGCAGCAGUGGGGAAUAUUGCACAAUGGGGGGGAACCCUGAUGCAGCGACGCCGCGUGGAGGAAGAAGGUCUUCGGAUUGUAAACUCCUGUUGUUAGGGACGAUAAAUGACGGUACCGUAACAAGGAAGCACCGGCUAACUACGUG